rnacentral:rRNA from 1 species
CCUACGGGUGGCAGCAGUGAGGAAUAUUGGUCAAUGGGCGCGAGCCUGAACCAGCCAAGUCGCGUGAGGGAAGACGGUCCUAUGGAUUGUAAACCUCUUUUGUCGGGGAGCAAAAGACGCCACGCGUGGCGUUCCGAGAGUACCCGAAGAAAAAACAUCGGCGAACUCCGUGCCAGCAGCCGCGGUAAUACGGAGGAUGCGAGCGUUAUCCGGAUUUAUUGGGUUUAAAGGGUGCGCAGGCGGAAGAUCAAGUCAGCGGUAAAAUUGAGAGGCUCAACCUCGUCGAGCCGUUGAAACUGGUUGUCUUGAGUGGGUGAGAAGUAUGCGGAAUGCGUGGUGUAGCGGUGAAAUGCAUAGAUAUCACGCAGAACUCCGAUUGCGAAGGCAGCAUACCGGCGCUCAACUGACGCUCAUGCACGAAAGUGUGGGUAUCGAACAGGAUUAGAUACCCGGGUAGUC